rnacentral:rRNA from 1 species
CCAAUAGCGUAUAUUAAAGUUGUUGCAGUUAAAAAGCUCGUAGUUGAAUUUCGGGACUAAUAUGUCGGUCGUACUUUGUACGUACUAGCAUUAUUGGUUUCUCCCUUCUGACGAACCACGAUGUUAUUAAUUUGGUGUCAUGGGAAAUCAGGACUGUUACUUUGAAAAAAUUAGAGUGUUUAAAGCAAGCUCGCGCUUGA